AGUGAACGCUGGCGGUAGGCCUAACACAUGCAAGUCGAACGGCAGCACAGUAAGAGCUUGCUCUUACGGGUGGCGAGUGGCGGACGGGUGAGGAAUACAUCGGAAUCUACUUUUUCGUGGGGGAUAACGUAGGUAAACUUACGCUAAUACCGCAUACGACCUACGGGUGAAAGCAGGGGAUCUUCGGACCUUGCGCGAUUGAAUGAGCCGAUGUCGGAUUAGCUAGUUGGCGGGGUAAAGGCCCACCAAGGCGACGAUCCGUAGCUGGUCUGAGAGGAUGAUCAGCCACACUGGAACUGAGACACGGUCCAGACUCCUACGGGAGGCAGCAGUGGGGAAUAUUGGACAAUGGGCGCAAGCCUGAUCCAGCCAUACCGCGUGGGUGGAGAAGGCCUUCGGGUUGUAAAGCCCUUUUGUUGGGAAAGAAAAGCAGCAGGUUAAUACCCCGCUGUUCUGACGGUACCCAAAGAAUAAGCACCGGCUAACUUCGUG
rnacentral:rRNA from 1 species